AAUGAACGUUGGCGGCAUGGAUUAGGCAUGCAAGUCGAGCGAGAAGAGUUUUGAAGCUUGCUUUAGAACUCGGACAGCGGCGAAAGGGAGAGUAACGCGUAGUUAUGUGCCCUAGGGUCCGGAAUAGCCACGGGAAACUGUGGGUAAUGCCGGAUAACAUCCCCGGAUCAAAGGUGUGAUUCCGCCCUAGGAGCAGACUGCGUCCUACUAGCUAGUUGGUGGGGUAAUGGCCCACCAAGGCAAUGAUGGGUAGCGGGUGUGAGAGCAUGACCCGUCUCACUGGGACUGAGACACGGCCCAGACACCUACGGGUGGCUGCAGUCGAGAAUCUUCGGCAAUGGGCGAAAGCCUGACCGAGCGAUGCCGCGUGCGGGAUGAAGGCCCUCGGGUUGUAAACCGCUGUCGUAGGGGAGGAAGGUUCCGUGAAGAGCGGAAUUUGACCUAUCCUAGGAGGAAGUACGGGCUAAGUUCGUGCCAGCAGCCGCCGUAAGAC
rnacentral:rRNA from 1 species